rnacentral:lncRNA from 1 species
GAAGAAGCCAUGUGAGGAUGGAGGCAAGAUUGAAGCGAAAGCGAAGUAGCUACAAGCCAAGGAAUGUCAAGGAUUGUCGAGAGCCACCAAAAGCCAGGUGAAAGAAGGCUUCUGCCAGACCUGUUCCUGUGGGAGUGGAAUCAUUGUGGGACCUGAUGAUUCAACAGUUGAUGAAGAAGCUGAAGCCAGGAGAAGCUAAUUAAAACUUCCAAAUUCCCCUAUAUUCUUUGCACUGCACCAGAGUGAACUUCCAUGGGCACUGAUUACCCAUCAUCUGGAAAGCACUGACAACAAACAACGACCACUGCAACUCUCUAUCCACUCAGAAGCCACAAUUAAACAGCAAGAUCCCUCCUUGGUGGACCUCUGAUGCCUGAGGUUCCAGCUUCUAAUCAACCUGCAUGUGGGAGCUCACUAAGAUCUUCUCGGGAGCCUGAAGGAGCUGCCUCACAUGAGAGAAACCACAUCGGCUUGUACUGAAUACUACAUGCAAAAAGAACGCUGAAGCAUGAAACAUCAGAAGGCAAUAUCAUGUGCCAGUGCUGUACCAAGCCAUAGCGAAGCCUAAGGCAGAAGGAGAACUGCAUGUACAUAGAUUCAGAGAUGGUGAAAACUGGAAAGGACUUCACAGGUCUUCUAAUCUAGGGCACCCUCAGUUAACAGAUCAUCAUUGUGAGAUCACUCAACCGGUUACUGCUGCCAGCUCUGCUCUCCAUUAAGUGUCCUUGUUGAGUUUGCCUCCAGUGACAGCUGGAGCAAGAACACAGUCAUCUGGGGCCACAUCUCACUGACACUGGCUCAGUGACCAGGAUCCUUCCUGUGAGCCAAACCCAACCAGAAGCUGGAGGGAACAGGAGUCAGUUCCAUUAAGAUCAGCCACCGGGGACAGAGAUCCAGGUGGAGAAUGCUGAAGAAAGCAUCUGGAUGUGCAAAGACAAGAUGCUCAGCACAACCCCACAUGAGUCAGUUUUUCAUUUUACUUCACUGGCUGUUCCUGCUCAUUAUCACUAUCCCUUGACAUCUUAAUCAAGGAUGCCCCAGAGUUUGAACUUCUUUUCUAUUUACUCUCAACCCCGUUGUGAUUUCAGCCAGUCUCCUGGAUUUAAAUGCAAUCUCAAUCUAUCUAACACUAACAGCCAAAUCACAUCCCCAGCCCCAACUCUUCCCCUGAACCCUGGACUGGCAAAUCCAACUAUUUGCUUGACUUCUCUGUGGAUGGUUAUAGGCACUCCUAACUUACCAUGUCUAAAAUUAGGCUCCAGAUCCCCUCCCCACAGCCAAGCCUCCUCUUGCCAUAACAUUCCCCAUCUCAGUUAAUGGCAACUCCAUCAGACCUUUCACUCAGCCCCAAACCUUGGAGUCAUCCUUGAUUUCAUCUUUCUUCUAACAUCCUACAUCCUAUCCAUAAGCAAAUCUUGGCUGCUCUAUUUUCCUAAUACAUCCAGGAUCUGAGCACUUUUUACUUCACUGCUGCUCCUACACUGCUCUAGCCCACCACCAUCUCUUGCUGGCGUUAUCGUUGCAUUAACCACCUCCUCAUUUGUCUCCUGGCCUCUGCCGCCACCCCCUGCAGUCUAUUCUUAACAUCACCAGAGUUGUUUACAUAUGAGUCAAAUCAUGUAAUUCCUCACCUCAAAAUCCUGUGGAGACUUCCCGUAUCAGCCAAGCUAGGUCAUGCUGCAGUAUCAGAAACAGAAACAACAUCAUCAGCUGUUACACAGAUUUUUCUUUCUUUCUCAGGGUAUAUAUUUACUGUGGGUCAUCAGGGGCUCUGCUCAACAUAGUCACUCAUGGAACCAGGAUGAUAGAGGUCCUGCCUUGACAUGUACUUACAUCAUCACUCCAGCAGUGGAAAGAGGAUGAGAAAACAUGCAGUGGCUUUUUUUUUUAAUUUAUUUUUUGAGGAAGACUGGCCCUGAGCUGACAUCCAUGCCCAUCUUCCUCUACUUUAUAUGUGGGAUGCCUGCCACAGCAUGGCUUGACAAGCAGUGCAAAGGUCUGCACCCACGAUCUGAACUGGCGAACCCUGGGCCACAGAAGCAGAACACGCGAACUUAACCACCGAGCCACCAGGCCGGCCCCACAGUGGCUUUUAAAGAUGUCACCCCACUCAGAAUUGACACAUUCCACUUCCACUCUCAUUUCUUUGGCUAAAACAAGGUGCCUUGCUGUGCAAUAAACCACUACAAAAUCUCAGUCGCAUGCAGCAAUAAGCAUUCAUUUGUCAUACAUCUGCAGGCUGGCUGGGCAUCAGCUGAUCUAGACUAGGCUAGGCGGGGCAUCUACUUUAAGAUGCAAGUUGUCUGGGGUAGCUCUAUUUAACAGGUUUCUCAUCCUCCUCCUAGAGUCAGUGGACAUGCCAGGGCAUGUUUUUUUCAUGUGAUGGCAGAAGCUCAGGAGGGCAAACCCCACUGGGUAAGCACACUUCGAGUUGUCACUUGAAUCAUGUCUACUUCCAUCCUGUGGUCCAAAGCAAGUCAUGUGACUACAGCCACAGCCAAGGGCUAAAGAAGCAUACUCUGUCUACUGUGAAGCCAGGGCGUGGGUGUGGAUGCAAAGAAGGGGUGAAGAAUUGGGGCAAUAAUCCAAAUAAAUAAUCCAAUCUAUCACACAUGACCACGCCUAAUUUUACGGGCAGAGAAAUAUAAUCCUCCUGUGUACCUGAAAGAACUAUUUAAAAUAUUUGAUGAACUCCACUAAAGAUCUUUAGUUGGAUAUGCCAAAGUCCUUACAAUGGCCUAAAAGAUUCACUGAAAUCUGGCUUCCUCUAGCUCCCUAACUUCGUCUCCGACCACCCAACAUGGCUCAUGCCAUUCCAGCCCUACACUAAGGAAGCUUCUACCUCAGGGCUUUUGCAAUAACUGUUCAUUCUGUCAGGAAUACUCGUCUAGUAGAUAUUUGCAUGGCUUUCUCCUUUAUGUCCUUUGGGACUUUGCUUUAGAUGAACACCUACUAAACCUCCCAUCCCCCAACCCUCCUUCUAUCACUGUCUCCCCCACUGAGGCAGAAGAUUCCAACGUUCACGUAGGAUCCUGGGCCUGGGUCCUUGGAGACAUUCUAGACUCUUCUGUCUUCCACUAUAUUUAAAGCUUUGCUUUUCAAAAUAUCCUGAGACUGUCUGCUUCUCACUUCCUCUACUUCGGCCUUCCUGGAUGAAGCCUCCUCUCUCUCCUGAGCCUGUUUCCUUAAGUGAUCUAUAGCUUCUCUCUCAUUUUCCUACAGCCAAUUUUCUAUCUAGUGACAGAUCUUUUAACAACUUGUCAUAUUUCAUAUUUCACUCCCCUGCUCAAAACUCUAAGGACAUCCCAACACACUCAGAAUCCAAACUUCUAACCAUGACCCAUAAGAUGCCCUAUGAAUUGGCCCUGUUUACUUCUUUCACCCCUGUUUUCUUACCAUUGAGUUCCUUGUCCACUCCACCCUUACCCUCUUGCUGUCCACAUCAUCCCUAGCUUGUUUCUGCCUCAGGGCCUUUGCACUUGCUAUUCUCUUUGCCUAGAAUGCUCUUCCCCAAGAUAUUUCCACCCAUUAUUUCCUGACUUCUUUAGCUCUCAGCGAAAAUGUCACCUCCUCAGAGAAACCUUCCUUUGCCUAACUUGCUUUGUUUUUCUUACAGCACUUAUCACCGUAUGAAGUUAUGUAUGUGUAUAUUUCCUGUUUCUACCUUGGUGCAAAUUCCGUGAAACUAGAACAUUGUGUGGUUCAUUAUCUUGUUCAUUGUCC